UACGUAGGUGGCAAGCGUUGUCCGGAUUUACUGGGCGUAAAGAGCGCGCAGGCGGUCGUUCAAGUCGCGUGUGAAAGCCCCCGGCUCAACUGGGGAGGGUCACGCGAUACUGAUCGACUCGAAGGCAGGAGAGGGUAGUGGAAUUCCCGGUGUAGUGGUGAAAUGCGUAGAUAUCGGGAGGAACACCAGUGGCGAAGGCGCUACCUGGCCUGUUUCUUGACGCUGAGGCGCGAAAGCUAGGGGAGCAAACGGG
rnacentral:rRNA from 1 species